ACGCCGCGUGAGCGAUCAAGGUCUUCGGAUCGUAAAGCUCUUUCUUUUGGGACGAUAAUGACGGUACCAAAAGAGGAAGCCACGGCUAACUACGUGCCAGCAGCCGCGGUAAUACGUAGGUGGCGAGCGUUGUCCGGAAUUACUGGGCGUAAAGGGUGCGUAGGCGGAUAUUUAAGUCAGAUGUGAAAUACCCAGGCUUAACUUGGGAGUUGCAUUUGAAACUGGAUAUCUAGAGUGCAGGAGAGGAAAGCGGAAUUCCUAGUGUAGCGGUGAAAUGCGUAGAGAUUAGGAAGAACACCAGUGGCGAAGGCGGCUUUCUGGACUGUAACUGACGCUGAGGCA
rnacentral:rRNA from 1 species